ACCCUUUAAUGUUUGAUGUUCUAACGUGGACCCGUGAUCCGGGUUGCGGACAGUGUCUGGUGGGUAGUUUGACUGGGGCGGUCUCCUCCUAAAGAGUAACGGAGGAGCACGAAGGUUGGCUAAUCCUGGUCGGACAUCAGGAGGUUAGUGCAAUGGCAUAAGCCAGCUUGACUGCGAGCGUGACGGCGCGAGCAGGUGCGAAAGCAGGUCAUAGUGAUCCGGUGGUUCUGAAUGGAAGGGCCAUCGCUCAACGGAUAAAAGGUACUCCGGGGAUAACAGGCUGAUACCGCCCAAGAGUUCAUAUCGACGGCGGUGUUUGGCACCUCGAUGUCGGCUCAUCACAUCCUGGGGCUGAAGUAGGUCCCAAGGGUAUGGCUGUUCGCCAUUUAAAGUGGUACGCGAGCUGGGUUUAGAACGUCGUGAGACAGUUCGGUCCCUAUCUGCCGUGGGCGCUGGAGAACUGAGGGGGGCUGCUCCUAGUACGAGAGGACCGGAGUGGACGCAUCACUGGUGUUCGGGUUGUCAUGCCAAUGGCACUGCCCGGUAGCUAAAUGCGGAAGAGAUA
rnacentral:rRNA from 1 species